rnacentral:rRNA from 1 species
GACGAACGCUGGCGGCGUGCUUAACACAUGCAAGUCGAACGGAAAGGCCCUGCUUUUGUGGGGUGCUCGAGUGGCGAACGGGUGAGUAACACGUGAGUAACCUGCCCUUGACUUUGGGAUAACUUCAGGAAACUGGGGCUAAUACCGGAUAGGAGCUCCUGCCGCAUGGUGGGGGUUGGAAAGUUUCGGCGGUUGGGGAUGGACUCGCGGCUUAUCAGCUUGUUGGUGGGGUAGUGGCUUACCAAGGCUUUGACGGGUAGCCGGCCUGAGAGGGUGACCGGCCACAUUGGGACUGAGAUACGGCCCAGACUCCUACGGGAGGCAGCAGUGGGGAAUAUUGCACAAUGGGCGGAAGCCUGAUGCAGCAACGCCGCGUGCGGGAUGACGGCCUUCGGGUUGUAAACCGCUUUCGCCUGUGACGAAGCGUGAGUGACGGUAAUGGGUAAAGAAGCACCGGCUAACUACGUGCCAGCAGCCGCGGUGAUACGUAGGGUGCGAGCAUUGUCCGGAUUUAUUGGGCGUAAAGGGCUCGUAGGUGGUUGAUCGCGUCGGAAGUGUAAUCUUGGGGCUUAACCCUGAGCGUGCUUUCGAUACGGGUUGACUUGAGGAAGGUAGGGGAGAAUGGAAUUCCUGGUGGAGCGGUGGAAUGCGCAGAUAUCGGGAGGAACACCAGUGGCGAAGGCGGUUCUCUGGGCCUUUCCUGACGCUGAGGAGCGAAAGCGUGGGGAGCGAACAGGCUUAGAUACCCUGGUAGUCCACGCUGUAAACGGUGGGUACUAGGUGUGGGGUCCAUUCCACGGGUUCCGUGCCGUAGCUAACGCUUUAAGUACCCCGCCUGGGGAGUACGGCCGCAAGGCUAAAACUCAAAGGAAUUGACGGGGCCCCGCACAAGCGGCGGAGCAUGCGGAUUAAUUCGAUGCAACGCGUAGAACCUUACCUGGGUUUGACAUGGAUCGGGAGUGCUCAGAGAUGGGUGUGCCUCUUUUGGGGUCGGUUCACAGGUGGUGCAUGGCUGUCGUCAGCUCGUGUCGUGAGAUGUUGGGUUAAGUCCCGCAACGAGCGCAACCCUUGUUCACUGUUGCCAGCACGUUAUGGUGGGGACUCAGUGGAGACCGCCGGGGUCAACUCGGAGGAAGGUGGGGAUGACGUCAAGUCACCAUGCCCCUUAUGUCCAGGGCUUCACGCAUGCUACAAUGGCUGGUACAGAGAGUGGCGAGCCUGUGAGGGUGAGCGAAUCUCGGAAAGCCGGUCUCAGUUCGGAUUGGGGUCUGCAACUCGACCUCAUGAAGUCGGAGUCGCUAGUAAUCGCAGAUCAGCAACGCUGCGGUGAAUACGUUCCCGGGGCU